rnacentral:rRNA from 1 species
AUUGAACGCUGGCGGCAGGCUUAACACAUGCAAGUCGAGCGGUAACAGAGAGAAGCUUGCUUCUCUGCUGACGAGCGGCGGACGGGUGAGUAAUGCCUAGGAAUCUGCCUAGUAGUGGGGGAUAACUUGCCGAAAGGUAAGCUAAUACCGCAUACGUCCUACGGGAGAAAGGAUGGGACCUUCGGGCCUUUCGCUAUUAGAUGAGCCUAGGUCGGAUUAGUUAGUUGGUGAGGUAAUGGCUCACCAAGACCGCGAUCCGUAACUGGUCUGAGGUGAUGAUCAGUCACACGGGAACUGAGACCCGGUCCAGAAUCCUACGGGAGGCAGCAGUGGGGAAUAUUGGGCAAUGGGGGGAACCCUGAUCCAGCCAUGCCGCGUGUGUGAAGAAGGGCUUAGGAUUGUAAAGCACUUUAAGUUGGGAGGAAGAGCAGUUAACUAAUAUUUGACUGUUUUGACGUUACCGACAGAAUAAGCACCGGCUAACUUCGUGCCAGCCGCCGCGGUAA